AGGGAUUCUGCAAUGCCUUAGA
rnacentral:miRNA from 10 species